rnacentral:lncRNA from 1 species
GAACCUUCUCCUGUCUUCUCCAGAUGAGUCCCUGAUCUUUGCUGGCUCGGAUACGCUGUCCAGUGCCGAGGAGUCAGGGAGCAAUGAAGAGUCACCUGAGAAAAAUCUCCAGGUGCUGUCGGCUACAGACCCCAGGCUGGAGCAGACCCUCUUGGCUGCAGCCAGUGCCGAGAUGGACCACGCGCUCCUGAAGAGCCUGAUUGUGAUUGACUUGAGCCUCAGCCAGUCAGCCCUGGAGGAUCUGCUGCUGGAGGAGGUGCUGCAGGCCGAGAGGCGGGAGGCCCAGACCCAUUGGCGCAUGCUGCAGCUGAGCAUCCUGCAGCUGGAGGACAAGCUGGAGGACACGGAGGAGGAGUUGCUGGAGCUGAUUUCGCAGCCGUCGCGUCCCCUGCUGGAGGUGGAGGAGGAGUUCCUGCCCCUUCUGCAGCUGCUGCAAGCCCAGCUUGAGAGCCUGAGCGCCAGCCACCAGCACCUGCUCUCCCUGCGCCAGCACCACCUGGCCGUGCACGCCCAGUACCGGCAAGUGGCGCGCCUGGGGGCGGCGCUGCACCAGGCCCUGCAGCAGGUGUGCCGGCUGCACCCCCAGUACCAGUGCUCCACGG